GCGAAUGAAAGGCUGACUGUUAUUGGGACAACUUCAACACACAUAGAUGGGAUAAGAAUAUGCGAGGACAACGGAGAGUUGACUCAUGUAGAUACAGAAAUGAUAGAGAUCAGCUCGCCAGAAGUACCACGAAAAAGAGUAAGAUUUCUGGUGCCUGAGAGCCCACAAAUGGAUGCAAGUGUUCGCGAAGAGUUGCAAGAACUUAUGGAAGCUAGGGAAGCAGGGAUGGCAUUUAUACUUGGUCAUUGUUAUGUUAGAGCUAAAAGGGGUUCAAGUUUGAUAAAAAAGCUGGUGAUUAACAUAGGAUAUGACUUUUUAAGAAGAAAUUGUCGUGGACCAACAUAUGCAUUGAGCUUCCCUCAAGCUUCAACAUUGGAGGUUGGAA
rnacentral:misc_RNA from 1 species